rnacentral:rRNA from 1 species
AUUGAACGCUGGCGGCGUGCUUAACACAUGCAAGUCGAUCGGUAACGCGGGGGCAACCCUGGCGACGAGAGGCGGACGGGUGAGGAACGCUUGGGAAUCUGCCUAUCAGCGGGGGACAACACGGGGAAACUCGUGCUAAUACCGCAUACGCUCUACGGAGGAAAGCCGGGGACCGCAAGGCCUGGCACUGAUAGAUGAGCCCAAGCCGGAUUAGCUAGUUGGCGGGGUAACGGCCCACCAAGGCGACGAUCCGUAGCUGGUCUGAGAGGACGAUCAGCCACACUGGGACGGAGACACGGACCAGACUCCUACGGGAGGCAGCAGUGGGGAAUAUUGGACAAUGGGGGAAACCUGAUCCAGCGACGCCGCGUGGGUGAAGAAGGCCUGCGGGUUGUAAAGCCCUUUCGGUAGGGACGAAAGCUCUCGACCUAACACGUCGGGAGGUUGACUUAACCUACAAAAGAAGCACCGGCUAACUCUGUGCCAGCAGCCGCAGUAAGAC